GGCCGUUAACCUGACGAUCGCAAAAUACUCAACUUAAAUUUAUUAUGUUAACCACGGCUGCCCCAGUUCAAAUUUGGAUCGAUGUAGCUCACAAUCAGUGUGCCUGCGGUAGUUAUGCUGAUUAAAAAUUUUACUGGGUUGCUUAAUACCUAUAACUUCGUUCUACCAUGAAACAUUUCUUGAUCAGUUAACUCAAGUGAUAGUUCAAAUUGCCACUGCAUCAAGUUGACGGUCCUUUCCUAUGUGUUCUGCUCCUACCACAGAUGUCUCUUACUCAAAAUAUCCUCCUGGGAAUUGAACUACUCGCAGCGGCUUUUUUAAUCUGUGUGGAUGCAAUCAUAGUGCACUCAUCUCUCAAUGAAACGGAAAUAUCUCAGUUAGAAAAAUACAACAUCAUACCUAAUUACAUGUCCAUGCCACCGGAUGCUAGGCUUGAGGUAACGUAUCCGGGGACUUAUCGGAACAAAGCAUCAGUGCGUUUCGGGAAUUUAAUAAAGGAACAGCGAAUGAAGGACAUUCCGACACUGAACUGGGCAGCAGAGCCGGAGAACGAAUAUUUCACGUUGAUCAUGAUCAAUCCUGAUCGGCCGAAUAAAGAACCUUUGCCCGUGGAGUAUUUGCAAUGGCUGGUAGUGAAUAUCAAAGGCAACAACGUCUCUACUGGACAGCCAAUAUUUAAGUAUGAGCCCCCUAAAUCCAUCGAGAAGUUUCCUACUUAUCAUACUCAUGUAUUUCUUCUAUACUUCCAAAGAGAGGGAAUUUUGCACGUAGAUAGGUCAUACGCCGCGUCAGGAAAAAAAAAAGAGCAAAUUAGGGUCGCUUUUAGGGUCAAUAAAUUUGUUAUCCAGCAUAAUUUGCGUGAGCCGUAUGCAGUUAAUUUCUGUCGAGUGAAGAACCCUAAAAAUAAAGGAGACUUCAUUCUCGGAUUUUGAAAAAGAAAAAAAAAUACGAGGUUCCUCAAAAGCUGUGCUGCUCUCCAAACAUCAAAGUUCUCGGGAAACAUUUCACUCUCUCUCUCUACUUUGCUCAUCACUCAGGAGAAUCAAUUGAUACCAUUUUCAUCAGAAUAUUGAUGGCUGAAGUUGAAAAAUGCGUAUUUCAGACUGCAAAGAUGUCCGUCUCCGCACUAAUGUUUCAUUUUUCACAGGAUAGUUAACCAAUAGUUCCUAUGAAAAUAUUCCCUGAAUUUUCUACCCUCAUUCUUAAAAAAUCGCAUCUAAUGGAGAGGAAAAAUGUACCUUAAUUUUCCUUAAAGAAAAUAAAAAAACCGGAGAUUUUCUUACGUUGCAUUUGAGAUACAAGUUA